rnacentral:lncRNA from 1 species
UUGUGGCAUCGCUGACACUGGCCCUUGUUACAUGCCCCAUUAUGGUGUCUGUUACACUUGUUGCACUUAGGCGCCCUUGUUGUUGUCAGUUUUCCUUUGCUGAGCUGGGGCUUGAGUAGGGUUAGCAUCCUUGCCCUGAUUUCCAUCCCACUUUCGUUUGCCAUCACUAGAACUUCCUUCCGCAGCACUGAUCCUUUUGGGCAACCUGC